rnacentral:rRNA from 1 species
CCUACGGGCGACAGCAGUGAGGAAUAUUGGUCAAUGGACGAGAGUCUGAACCAGCCAAGUAGCGUGAAGGAUGACUGCCCUAUGGGUUGUAAACUUCUUUUAUAUGGGAAUAAAACGUUCCACGUGUGGGAUUUUGUAUGUACCAUAUGAAUAAGGAUCGGCUAACUCCGUGCCAGCAGCCGCGGUAAUACGGAGGAUCCGAGCGUUAUCCGGAUUUAUUGGGUUUAAAGGGAGCGUAGGUGGAUUGUUAAGUCAGUUGUGAAAGUUUGCGGCUCAACCGUAAGAUUGCAGUUGAAACUGGCAGUCUUGAGUACAGUAGAGGUGGGCGGAAUUCGUGGUGUAGCGGUGAAAUGCUUAGAUAUCACGAAGAACUCCGAUUGCGAAGGCAGUUCACUGGACUGCAACUGACACUGAGGCUCGAAAGUGUGGGUAUCAAACAGGAUUAGAUACCCUGGUAGUC